rnacentral:rRNA from 2 species
UAAGCCUGCGAAGGUGGCCUGUGAGGGUUGCUGGAGGUAUCAGAAGUGCGAAUGCUGACAUAAGUAACGAUAAAGCGGGUGAAAAGCCCGCUCGCCGGAAGACCAAGGGUUCCUGUCCAACGUUAAUCGGGGCAGGGUGAGUCGACCCCUAAGGCGAGGCCGAAAGGCGUAGUCGAUGGGAAACGGGUUAAUAUUCCCGUACUUGGUGUUACUGCGAAGGGGGGACGGAGAAGGCUAUGUUGGCCGGGCGACGGUUGUCCCGGUUUAAGCGUGUAGGCUGGUUUUCCAGGCAAAUCCGG